GACGAACGCUGGCGGCGUGCUUAACACAUGCAAGUCGAACGGAAAGGCCCUGCUUUUGUGGGGUGCUCGAGUGGCGAACGGGUGAGUAACACGUGAGUAACCUGCCCUUGACUUUGGGAUAACUUCAGGAAACUGGGGCUAAUACCGGAUAGGAGCUCCUGCUGCAUGGUGGGGGUUGGAAAGUUUCGGCGGUUGGGGAUGGACUCGCGGCUUAUCAGCUUGUUGGUGGGGUAGUGGCUUACCAAGGCUUUGACGGGUAGCCGGCCUGAGAGGGUGACCGGCCACAUUGGGACUGAGAUACGGCACAGACUCCUCCGGGAGGCAGCAGUGGGGAAUAUUGCACAAUGGGCGGAAGCCUGAUGCAGCAACGCCGCGUGCGGGAUGACGGCCUUAGGGUUGUAAACCGCUUUCGCCUGUGACGAAGCGUGAGUGACGGUAAUGGGUAAAGAAGCACCGGCUAACUACGUG
rnacentral:rRNA from 1 species